rnacentral:rRNA from 1 species
GACGGAGGAGGCAAGCGUUAUCCGGAAUUAUUGGGCGUAAAGGGUACGUAGGCGGCUGGUCAAGUCUGGGGUCAAAGGCCACAGCUCAACUGUGGGAAGGCCCUGGAAACUGACCGGCUAGAGUGAGGUAGGGGUUGCGGGAAUUCCCGGUGUAGCGGUGAAAUGCGUAGAGAUUGGGAAGAACACCUGAGGCGGAAGCGCGCAACUGGGCCGAAACUGACGAUGAGGUACGAAAGCUAGGGGAGCGAAUGGG